CAGGACGUGGAGGAGUCUGGAAUCCUCGCCGGUCUUGGACACCGGAGAACGCUGGUUCAAAUCCAGCCGUCCUGACCA
rnacentral:tRNA from 1 species